rnacentral:lncRNA from 1 species
AUUGAUACACUUUAAUCCAUGUUAUUUUUUAAAAUCUCCAAUGUAUUCUCAAAUUAUUCCUCUUUACAGAACCGAAGUGCAGCUCCCCACUUCAGGUAAUGUGAUUCUACCCUUUGCCUGAGAAACAUAUCCAUCCUAAUUGCCAUGUGCUCAGCUGGACCACUAGAGGGAGCCAUCCUGUAACGGGUGAGGUCAACCUAACAAAUGGUAUCAGUCGAGUAUUGAUCGGAGGCCAACGCAAGAAGUUACCAGUAGCCUAUUUCAGAUUUAUUAAAAAACACAUAGGUAACGAGUCAGAGCUUUGGCUAGGAAUGAUUUGGAAAAGAACUGAAGGCAUAAUUCCACAGGACAUUCACAGUUGUGUGCUAGAGACAGAGAGGAGCAGGAAAGUGUUUUAGAAGCAUUUGCGGUGGACAAUGGAAGGCCCGGCUUCAUCGUAUUCCUGUUUGCUGAUCCACAUCUGCUGGAAGGUGGACAGAGAGGCCAGGAUGGAGCCACCGAUCCAGACAGAGUAUUUGCGCUCCGGAGGGGCAAUGAUCUGUCAGUCAAGAUGAAAAAGAAUGGUCAUUAAUGUCAUCAUUAGUGCAGUCGUUAGUGCGGUAGGACAGAGCCUGGAUGUUCUACCAUGGCCUAGUUUCUUGUUCAGCAGGGACACAGGCUUGUCUGUUAGAUGCCAAUUGUGUCCUAAUUGUGUCAUGUUCUUGGCAGGACCGCCAGAGGGAGCCAUGGAUUUAGAAAUUCUUCAGUAAGCACAUUCGUUUUUCUCACCUGUAACUCUUCGACCACAUUAUUGAGCAAACUGAAAGUUGGCUCCAAAUCCAGCCAUGGCCCCCACUUAAGAACCCUGGCAAUGCCUCUGAUUUCCAUGAACUCUGCCUCAGAAUUCAACACGAUACACUUUCUGUAGAAACAAACCCUAGCCUAUUCAAAGGAGAAGUUUUAAUUGUGCUAGGACUUAGUAUACAAAUGUGUUUCCACGUGGUGAAGUGAACUACCACUUUUCACCCAGAUGCUCUGUUUAACAUUGGGGAACUCAGGGUCCCCUGCUGGGGACAUUCCCUUGCAAUAGGUGCCUCUUAAGCUGCACUGGUUGGCCUUUCCCAGUGCACAGGCCUAACCUGCAAGGCAUGCUCAUGUUUCUUAAAUAAAUGAAUGGUUUAGGCACAGAGAACAGUGAAAACUGGCUAACCAGUUUAAUCUUUAUCUUCUGAGCAUUUACUUCUUAAUACAAAGUACUGAUAUUUACUGAGCAUGUAAUUAUAUGCCAGGCACUAUGCUAAGCAUUUUACAUGUAUUAUCUCAUUUGAUUCUCAUAAACAUCUUGAAGAAUAAGUCUUAAAUUACUCCCAUAUUACAUAUGAGGAAACAGAGGCUGAGAAAGUUUAAGUAACUGGCCCAGGUAACACCGGUUAUAUCAGUGUCAGAUCUGAUAUUCAAACCUGGGUUCUCCCAGGUGGUUUUAUGUUUUGGUUUGGUUUUAAAAAUAACCUUUUUAUUUUGGAACAAUUUUAGAUUUUCAGAAAAGUUGUAAAGAAUUUAGUAUAGUUUGGAUAUCUCCUCCAAAUCUCAUGUUGAGAUGUAAUCCCCCGUGUUGGAGGUGGGGCCUGGUAGGAGGUGUUUGGAUCACGUGGGUGGAUCUCUCAUGAAUGGCUUAGGACAUCUCCUUGGUGAUAAGUGAGCUCUUCUUCCGAGUUCACAUGAAAUCUGGUUAUUUCAAAGUGUGUGGCACCCUCCCCCCACCCCUGCCCUCUCUGUUGCCCCUGCUUUUGCCAUGUGAGGUGUCUGCCCCUGCUUCGCCUUCCACCAUGAUUCGAAGCUUUCUGAGACUGAGGCCUCCCCAGAAGCUGAUGCUAGAGCUAUGCUUCCUGUACAGCCUGCUGAACUGUGAGCCAGUUAAACCUCUUUUCUUUACAAAUUACCCAAGUCUUAGGUAUUUCUUUAUAGCAACGCAAGAACAGCCUAUGACAAAUUCUAUGGGAGUUCCCAUAGGUCUCUCAUCCAGUUUCAUUUUUGCCAAAUGUUAUCAUCUUAUUGUCCUAGGUUUUUCUUGGUUCUCUAUACUAUCUCAUUACAUCGGGGCCCAGAGUUUCACAUUAAUUUCUAUUCAAGAAACCAAGUUUAGAGAACUAGGAACUGCCCAACUCUAGCAAUAGCCUCUUUCUGUUAUCGACCCUCAUGAGAUCAACUCAGUAGUGAGCCCAGCUACUGGCUUCAUUCACCUCCCUCUUGUGUGGAAGUAAGGGGGGUAAGAGCUGAUCAGAAUGGCAUCCAAGAAACACAAACGCUGUUGGAAAACAGUCUCUCUUCUCUCAUGCUGAAGUCUUUUAGGGCAGGACUAGCCAGAGCCUAUCAUGGAGAGAGAAAGUGUGCAUGUUUCAGUCUAGCACACUCUCUAGUGUUAGCUGCAUACUCCUUCUAAAAACAGAAGGGAGUGCAAAGAGGAGAUAAUUUGUUUAAAUACCCACGUGUGUGAACUGCACUAGAAUUGCCCCUCUACUUCCUGUGACAUGGGUCAGAGGGUCCCAAGUGUGGCCUUCUGACUUCAGAGAGUGAUAAUAACCUUUGAGAAGUGACCCAGCCACAGGUUAAGUUUGCCUCCAAAGAAUUAUCUCCAUUUAAUCCCCGAGUUCCCUUCACUAGGGCUCAACAUUCACACCACAUACAGGGGUCCUGGGUGGCUCAGGGACUGAGCUUGGUCAUCCUAGAGUCAUUCUGUGCUUUUGAGCACCUGUACCAAAAGAUGUGCUAGACAGAGGAAUGAGGAUAAAAUUUGAAUUCUUGGCCACAGGAUUGAGGUUAGUAGUGGAGGAAGAGUAUAAGCUCCUCCUAAAUCUACAGUGUUUGAAGUUCUUCAGAAAUAAGUCUAGGUCAUCAGUAUUUUUAAAAAAUGUGUUACAUGCAUGAUGCACUAUUUUUGUGUCGAGAAAAACAACAAAAUGCAUAUUUUAAAGAGAGAUGAGCAUGUGGGGAGCUCUGUUGACUUUGACUGCAGCUACUGAAAGUAGCUGACAGACAAGGAUAAAUAGAGAUCAAAUUUUAUAUAAAGUAACUCAAUUUUUCUUAUGAACUAGAUUGACUUACAUCCUGUAAAAUAUGAGAUUUGUGUCCAUUACCUACCCCUAAAACCCACAAUUGCAUGUCACCAAAAUACAGUCUCUGAAGAGUUCUUAUCUGUGGUUAUAGGGCUGACACUGCUGGCGGCAUUGCCACUGGGUCUGUCACUGAACAGUACCUUGAUCUUCAUGGUGCUGGGUGCUAGGGCCGUGAUCUCCUUCUGACAUUGUUAGCAUAGAGGUCCUUCCUGAUGUCAAUAUCACACUUCAUGAUGCUGUUGUAGGUGGUUUCAUGGAUGCCAGCAGACUCCAUCCCUGGAAAAGAGACACAGGCCAUGGUCCUUAAGUGGAGAGUAAAACCCAGGCUAGACAUGGAAGACCAGACUUGAACAUCUGGAUGAUCUUGCAGUGGACUGAGGCUGGGAAGACAUAAUAAUCUAGGAACCACCUGUCUGAGAGACAAAAGGGUCUUGUUAUGCUCUAUGUCUUCCUGCCUGCCUUCUAAUGAGGAAGGCCUGCUGCAGCAUCCUGAGGUGUGGGCUACAACAGGUAUCACUGAUUUUUUAAUAGACUCACUACUCACUCCAUGUGGUUUAAAUAAGGGAUGAAGCCUUCCAAUUCCCUGCAAAGCUUCCACGCUGAGCCAAUGUUGCAACAACUCUUCAGAGCUCUCCCAGGUCUCCAUUUAACAGCUACGUUGCAUCUGCCCCAGCCCCCAAAGCUAAUGGGGCUGGAUUAUCAGGGAAACUUACUCUAUUUUUUAUCCUGUUGGAAAAGGCUCAUUUUUCCAAUCUUGCUAACAUUUUUUUUGGGUGGGGGUGGGGGUCUGGACUUUUGUUAAUUUCUGACGCAGGUGUUUUCAAAAAACCUCUAGGUGCCCUUUCAUCUUCUGCAGUGCUGUGAUGUAAUGAUAACGUUAACAAUAGCACUACCUGAUUAUUAAUUACUAGUGAUAUCUGAUAAUUAUUGAAUGCUUGCUUUUGCCAGGCAGUGGGCUAAGUGCUCUUUAUCUAUCUCCUGUAAUUCUCACAGCCAUCCUAGGACAUAAGUAAUAUUACAGUCUCCGCUUUAUACAUGAGGAGACUAGUUGGGAGGUUAAGUGACUUUCCCAAGAUCAAGAGAACUAAGACUGAAACCCAGGCUCACCCCUCUCAGAGCCUGCCUCUGUAAACAACUAUGCAAACCUGUCUCUCCAAGACAAUGUGAAUGUAGGAACAGACUCACUUUGAGUGCUCUUCUAUUUUUCUCUCCCCCAGCAUUCCCAAAUUCUCAGCCUUCAGCACACCCUUGCUACCCUUUCCGCUGUCUCCAAAGCACAGGCAUUAUUUAAUUCUUUCAUCAUACACCAUGAAUGCUUUGGGCUUAACUGCAACAUAGAUAGUGUUUUCUUAGGAAGAAAACCUUUUUCCUGGCCUCAUUAUGUCUUCUCGCCUUGAAAAUGUGGCACUUUCCCUUUUUCUGGUUUAGAAAUGCUUUUGGUCUUGGGGCAACCGUCACUUGUCUCCAUGUUCUGGAGGCUGGCUUGAUAUGGAAGAAGACAAUGACUCCCCUUCCCAGGAAAAGGGCGUUUGUUGCCUACCGAUGAAGGAUGGCUGGAACAGGGUCUCUGGGCAGCGGAAACGUUCAUUUCCGAUGGUGAUCACUUGCCCAUCAGGCAACUCGUAACUCUUCUCAAGGGAGGAUGAGGAUGCGGCAGUGGCCAUCUCAUUUUCAAAGUCCAGAGCUACAUAACACAGUUUCUCCUUGAUGUCCCGGACAAUCUCACGCUCAGCUGUCAACCAGAUACAAACAUUGUGGCAAACAUUAGGGUCUGCACAGGUGGCAAAGAUUCACCUGCCCUACUGCAGUCUCUCCCUCAAGACAUGUGCCAUCAAAAAAUGUGUCAGUUCAAUAUUCUGCAAUCCAAAAUCCACAAUGAUAAUGACGUAGUAGGGCCACCAGGGAACCACCUCUGUUCCUAGGACAGUGUCUCAUGCAUAGUAGGCCCUCAGCAUGCAUUGUCUGGGAAAUGCAUAACAAGAAUAAAAUGAGCUAGCUAGAGAAAGG